rnacentral:rRNA from 1 species
CAGCACCUCAAGUGGUCAGGAUGAUUAUUGGGCCUAAAGCAUCCGUAGCCGGCGCUGUAAGUUUUCGGUUAAAUCUGUACGCUCAACGUAGAGGCUGCCGGGAAUACUGCAGCGCUAGGGAGUGGGAGAGGUAGACGGUACUCGGUAGGAAGGGGUAAAAUCCUUUGAUCUAUUGAUGACCACCUGUGGCGAAGGCGGUCUACCAGAACACGUCCGACGGUGAGGGAUGAAAGCUGGGGGAGCAAACCGGAUUAGAUACCCGAGUAGUCC